AUGCCAGCGGUUAGAAGUUUCAGUGCUGAGGUUUUUAAAGGCGUACACGAUAUUAUAUCACCCUCGCUUGUUCAGUUAGCAGUUUUUGGCAAGGAAGAUGAUGAACCAGUGCAACUUGGUACAGGUCUUGUCUUAGCUUGCACACGCGAGUAUAUUGGAGUAAUUACAACUAUUGGCUGUGAUCCGGCGGAAGGAUAUACUGUCGCUGCAAGAUUUGGUGACCAAAAUGAUUUGGACGCCAAAGUUGUAAUGAGAAGUGGACCACUGUAUGGUUUGAUCAUAUUGGGUUCUGAUCUUAAGGCUAAACCAUGCCUCGCUCCACGUUUCUAUGAUGGAGAAACUUUGAGUUCUGGGCCGGUGUUUGCUGUUGGGUGUCAGGGUUUCUACAAGGAUAUUAUUAUAGUUUCUGGAUUGAUUGGUGUUAAUGUCUGUAAAAAGUGGGUGGAAGGAAGAAAACUAUCGACACUUGUCCACACAUGUCAGAUUGGAGAUGGGUUAAUUGGAGCCCCAGUUCUUAAUCGAGGUGGCGAGGUUGUUGGGAUCAAUGUUGCUCGCACACGUCAGACAUCGCAAAUUAAUUAUGCAGUGAAGAUGGAAGAGUUCAGAAACAUGCUGGCAGAGUUAGUUGGCACCGAAUACAAGCCGGAGACUGGACUUGCAAGACUUCUGACAUUAUUCAAUGAGAAAAUAUCUGAAUUUGGAUCAACAACGGGAAAGCAUGGUGUGAAAAGAAAGUUGGAACACACUUCGAGACAAUAA
rnacentral:rRNA from 1 species